GUUACUCCUGAUUUACACCAACAUAAACAAGACCAGAAUCAAAGCCAUGCGGGAGCCCUAAGGGUAUGCUUAGAAUGGGAAGAAAAGGAAAGAACUCCACGCUAGACAAACUCACCAGCCCAGGGGGAUUCCUGGUUUGAACUGCUUGCUGUAUGACAAUCACCAGUCCUCUGGCAAAACUGCAGCAUGGAUAGCUUCAAAGAACAGUCAGUGCCAUGUGGAGAGAAGGUGCUGAGGAGCUGUGUAGAACAACAAAUUCAAAUGGAAAAUGAUUGCAAGGAGGCUUAAAGCCCACAGAGACCUAGCUGCUUCCAAAAGACUGAAAAAAAACUUUAAUAGGAAGAACCAGAGAACUGAAUGAGGCACUACUGGAACAGCUCAAUGCUUGACAGGAAAGCAAAAUGGAUCCAUACUGUGGAGUCAAUAAGAAGCACAGAAGAGCACCUCUGGGGAAAGAUUCAGAGAAUAAGAUGAUUAGAACCAUACCUUGGGGAGUUAAAGGGAGAAAUCCCCAAAUGCCUGGAGAACAAGCUGUUCCCGUCGUGAAGUACCUUAACAUCAAAGUGUGGAUGGGAAGCUCCACAGAGCUUUAGCAGAAUCUUAGAGAGACAGAAGUAGUGCUUUCUGAUAAACAAAUCACAAAACCAAAUAUAUCUACAACAGAAGUUACUGAAGUCCAACCAGUAUAUGACAGCAGACUCUUGAGAAGAACCAGAAGGGAAACCAGCUACAUAUUUUUGGUACAAAUCUACAGGAAAUGUAAGAACUAGCAACAGCUUGAUUACAGCAGUGCUAAGAAGAAAGAUCCAUCUACAGUGCAAGAUCCUCUGAAGGAGCAGCUCACUAAAAAUGCUGCAGUAACUUACUAGCAAUGCUGGAAUAAAAUUAAAAGAACAUUGACAGCCCCAGAGACUGUUUAAAUGGUGUCAGAUGGAAAUCUCUUGUUAAAGAUAAAUACUUGCCACACUGAGUUUAAUAAGUCUAACUCACUAGAGUUAUCAAUGACAUCAAGAAACAGCUCAGUUCCUUACAUAAUAUAUUAUCAAGGCAACAACAAUAAGCUUAGGAAACUGCAG
rnacentral:lncRNA from 1 species